CAUCAGUGGCAUGCCACCCAUUGGUGUUUAUGGUUGCAAUGGCGCCAUGCUAAGCUAAACGUUAAAGAGAGAAAGUUGCCAAUUUUCAACCCUUCUGAAGUGAGUAAACCAGUGGGAGAUUUUCCG